rnacentral:rRNA from 1 species
GUGAACGCUGGCGGUAGGCCUAACACAUGCCAGUCGAACGGCAGCACCGUAAGAGCUUGCUCUUACGGGUGGCGAGUGGCGGACGGGUGAGGAAUACAUCGGAAUCUACUUUUUCGUGGGGGAUAACGUAGGGAAACUUACGCUAAUACCGCAUACGACCUACGGGUGAAAGCAGGGGAUCUUCGGACCUUGCGCGAUUGAAUGAGCCGAUGUCGGAUUAGCUAGUUGGCGGGGUAAAGGCCCACCAAGGCGACGAUCCGUAGCUGGUCUGAGAGGAUGAUCAGCCACACUGGAACUGAGACACGGUCCAGACUCCUACGGGAGGCAGCAGUGGGGAAUAUUGGACAAUGGGCGCAAGCCUGAUCCAGCCAUACCGCAUGGGUGAAGAAGGCCUUCGGGUUGUAAAGCCCUUUUGUUGGGAAAGAAAAGCAGCAGGUUAAUACCCCGCUGUUCUGACGGUACCCAAAGAAUAAGCACCGGCUAACUUCGU